rnacentral:rRNA from 1 species
AGAGUUUGAUCCUGGCUCAGGAUGAACGCUGGCGGCGUGCUUAACACAUGCAAGUCGAACGAUUAAGACGGCUUCGGCCGUGUAUAGAGUGGCGAACGGGUGAGUAACACGUGACCAACCUGCCCCGCGCUCCGGGACAACCGCUGGAAACGGCGGCUAAUACCGGAUGCUCCGGGGAGGCCCCAUGGCCUCCCCGGGAAAGCCUUAACGGCGCGGGAUGGGGUCGCGGCCCAUUAGGUAGACGGCGGGGUAACGGCCCACCGUGCCCGCGAUGGGUAGCCGGACUGAGAGGUCGACCGGCCACAUUGGGACUGAGAUACGGCCCAGACUCCUACGGGAGGCAGCAGUGGGGAAUUUUGCGCAAUGGGGGAAACCCUGACGCAGCAACGCCGCGUGCGGGACGAAGGCCUUCGGGUUGUAAACCGCUUUCAGCAGGGAAGACAUAGACGGUACCUGCAGAAGAAGCUCCGGCUAACUACGUGCCAGCAGCCGCGGUAAUACGUAGGGGGCGAGCGUUAUCCGGAUUCAUUGGGCGUAAAGCGCGCGUAGGCGGCCGCCUAAGCGGAACCUCUAAUCCCGGGGCUCAACCUCGGGCCGGGUUCCGGACUGGGCGGCUCGAGUGCGGUAGAGGCAGGCGGAAUUCCCGGUGUAGCGGUGGAAUGCGCAGAUAUCGGGAAGAACACCGAUGGCGAAGGCAGCCUGCUGGGCCGCCACUGACGCUGAGGCGCGAAAGCUGGGGGAGCGAACAGGAUUAGAUACCCUGGUAGUCCCAGCCGUAAACGAUGGACGCUAGGUGUGGGGGGACCAUCCCCCCGUGCCGCAGCCAACGCAUUAAGCGUCCCGCCUGGGGAGUACGGCCGCAAGGCUAAAACUCAAAGGAAUUGACGGGGGCCC